rnacentral:lncRNA from 10 species
GUGGAGAGUAAUUUAACCAGAAAGAGGCUACCGCAUUCUCAAAAAGACAUUAAAGAAAUUGCAAACAGGCAAGUAUAAAAUAUUUAUUGCACUCCAACUCUGGGCCAUGCAAGGUGUGGAGUCAUCUAUUGAGUUACUAUUUAUAGAGUUUUUAUUAAUGAGUUGUAAUAGUUUAUUAAUUAGGGCAAUUCUAGUUGCAGUAACAAACAAAUGCCAAUACAUUAGUAGAUAAGCUUAGGAGAAACUUGUCUCUCGAUCUGAAUAUAGUCCAAGGAAGCAUUCCUGUAGGUGGUAGGAUUUUUUUCCAUGUGGUGAUUUGGCGAUCAGGGCUCCAAUUUUUUGCUCAAUGAUUCUUGAGGAACCUUCUCUAGAACAAAGAGAAAAGGGGGGAAAUGGCACACUGGCUGCCAUUUUCAUAAGUGAUGCUCUGUACUUCUUGCAUUUCAUUGCUGAGAACUGGUCACAUAUCUUUAAAAAUUCAUGUUUUUUUUUUUAACUAUGUGGAGUUGUCUUUGGAAAGCAGCUGUCCAGGCAGGUACUACAAAAUCCCCUCUUGUGUAACGCAGAAACCAUAUUACAAGUACUCACUAACAACAAGUGAAUGAAAGUGAUGUACGUCACACCUGAGCCAAAAUGGUUAAAAGUGGGUAUAGUUUUUUACCCUCUUAUUUGCUUACAGCGGAAGGCCCUGGGACAUGGAAGAACCCCUAAAUAAAGGAACCUGGGGUUCUGAAUGACUGUAUAGAAUGCUUCCUUCCUCAUUUAUCAAGACUACCUGCAUUUUACUGCAGGUGAACUGGAAUAAACUUUUAUUGUGUUUGUCAACAAAAUGUUGGAAUGGCCUUGCUACAGUGGCUAAGAUCGCUCAAACAAAUAUUCAUGGCCUCAUCUGAAAGCAAGAGAUGAUGGUAAAUAUGAUCUCAGGUUGGCCAACCACUUCUCAUUGAAAGCUGUUUCAAUACUUUGGAAACAGGAGUGCAGCUUUUAGGUGCUCAGUUAGCUGACUCUACACAAACACCUUUCACAGUGCCUGACUUUACUGAAUGAAUAAAUGAAUGGCCCACAUUUAAGUGGAUGCCCUCCUCUGGGAAGCUCUGUGCACGUUGAUGUAGCUAUUAAAAAUUGACUACAGGACUUUUUACAAACAUGUUAAGCUAUUUAUAUACGUUAUUUUAUUAAUACUGGUGAUAAUCCAGUUAAUUAAAUUUCAUUUUAUUGCAUUCAUUUAUUUUUAAAAUUGUGUCUUCCUUUUUGAACUGUGAGAUUUUUGUUGUCACGAUUGGUGCCCUUGGUUGCCGGUGCAGUGCAUAGCACAUGGCAAAGACUCAGUGUCUGUUGAAUGAAUACAUGCUUGGGCAGAUGGAUGGACAGAUACAGGAUAGACAUGAGGCCAACUGUGUGUGAUAUAGGGUCUAAAUGCCAGGACCGAGGGGCAAAAAAGAGUAAAAGAAAAAUAAAUAGAUGUAUAAAGAGUAAAUAUAAUUUUGUUUACUUUUUUCAUUGAAGACUGAAUUUUUUUAAACCUAUGCCUUUUUCAAUAUGCAUCUAGGUUCAUUAUUUCUAAAUGUUGUGUAAUAUUUCAUUCUAUGCGAGGCCACUUUAUAUCUAUUCAUUAUCUCAAUAUUGAACACCUAGGUUGUCUUCAGCUCCUGGCUAUGACAGGUAGUGCUGCUAUAAAUAUCAACAUCUGUAUCUUAAGAUUUUUCUCGAUGGUCUUUUAAUGUUAUAAAAUUAUUAAUCAAUUUUUU